rnacentral:rRNA from 1 species
GUGGGGAAUAUUGGACAAUGGGGGGAACCCUGAUCCAGCCAUGCCGCGUGUGUGAAGAAGGCCUUUUGGUUGUAAAGCACUUUAAGCGAGGAGGAGGCUACCGAGAUUAAUACUCUUGGAUAGUGGACGUUACUCGCAGAAUAAGCACCGGCUAACUCUGUGCCAGCAGCCGCGGUAAUACAGAGGGUGCAAGCGUUAAUCGGAUUUACUGGGCGUAAAGCGCGCGUAGGUGGCCAAUUAAGUCAAAUGUGAAAUCCCCGAGCUUAACUUGGGAAUUGCAUUCGAUACUGGUUGGCUAGAGUAUGGGAGAGGAUGGUAGAAUUCCAGGUGUAGCGGUGAAAUGCGUAGAGAUCUGGAGGAAUACCGAUGGCGAAGGCAGCCAUCUGGCCUAAUACUGACACUGAGGUGCGAAAGCAUGGGAGCAAACAGGAUUAGAAACCCGGGUAGUCC